GAAACUACUACAUAUUCACAAAUAGGAAAGGGCAAAGUCAAGUAUGACACAUUGAACAUUGACUGUUAUGUUACCAUUUGAAAUGUUGCUUUAAAAGAGAUUUUCAGGGAGUGAGCAGGGAACAUAGUGAUACACCAGAUAGACACAGUGCCUGGCCUCGAGGAGCUGACACUCUCCUGGGGAAGACAAACACUAAGCACGUGGACAAUUGAGACAAUUUCAGACUGACAAUUUCAGCACAACCAAGGAAGAGUC